GACGAACGCUGGCGGCGUGCCUAAUACAUGCAAGUAGAACGCUGAAGAGAGGAGCUUGCUCUUCUUGGAUGAGUUGCGAACGGGUGAGUAACGCGUAGGUAACCUGCCUGGUAGCGGGGGAUAACUAUUGGAAACGAUAGCUAAUACCGCAUGAUAUUAAUUAUCGCAUGAUAAUUAAUUGAAAGAUGCAAUUGCAUCACUACCAGAUGGACCUGCGUUGUAUUAGCUAGUUGGUGAGGUAACGGCUCACCAAGGCGACGAUACAUAGCCGACCUGAGAGGGUGAUCGGCCACACUGGGACUGAGACACGGCCCAGACUCCUACGGGAGGGAGCAGUAGGGAAUCUUCGGCGAUGGGGGGAACCCGGACCGAGCAACGCCGCGUGAGUGAAGAAGGUUUUCGGAUCGUAAAGCUCUGUUGUAAGAGAAGAACGGGUGUGAGAGUGGAAAGUUCACACUGUGACGGUAUCUUACCAGAAAGGGACGGCUAACUACGUGCCAGCCGCCGCCGUAAGAC
rnacentral:rRNA from 1 species